CCUAAUACAUGCAAGUCCAGCGAAUGACGAGGAGCUUGCUCCUCUGAUUUAGCGGCGGACGGGUGAGUAACACGUGGGUAAUCUGCCUGUAAGACGGGGAUAACUCCGGGAAACCGGGGCUAAUACCGGAUAACAAGAGAAGAUGCAUAUCUUCUUUUUGAAAGUCGGUUUCGGCUGACACUUACAGAUGAGCCCGCGGCGCAUUAGCUAGUUGGUGAGGUAACGGCUCACCAAGGCGACGAUGCGUAGCCGACCUGAGAGGGUGAUCGGCCACACUGGGACUGAGACACGGCCCAGACUCCUACGGGAGGCAGCAGUAGGGAAUCUUCGGCAAUGGGCGAAAGCCUGACCGAGCAACGCCGCGUGAGCGAUGAAGGCCUUCGGGUCGUAAAGCUCUGUUGUUAGAGAAGAACAAGUACGAGAGUAACUGCUCGUACCCUGACGGUACCUAACCAGAAAGCCACGGCUAACUACGUGCCAGCAGCCGCGGUAAUACGUAGGUGGCAAGCGUUAUCCGGAAUUAUUGGGCGUAAAGCGCGCGCAGGCGGUCUCUUAAGUCUGAUGUGAAAGCCCACGGCUCAACCGUGGAGGGUCAUUGGAAACUGGGAGACUUGAGUGCAGGAGAGAAAAGUGGAAUUCCACGUGUAGCGGUGAAAUGCGUAAAGAUGUGGAGGAACACCAGUGGCGAA
rnacentral:rRNA from 1 species